AAGAAGCGAAAGUGACGGUACCUGCAGAAGAAGCGCCGGCUAACUACGUGCCAGCAGCCGCGGUAAUACGUAGGGCGCAAGCGUUGUCCGGAAUUAUUGGGCGUAAAGAGCUCGUAGGCGGCUUGUCGCGUCGGAUGUGAAAGCCCGGGGCUUAACCCCGGGUCUGCAUUCGAUACGGGCAGGCUAGAGUGUGGUAGGGGAGAUCGGAAUUCCUGGUGUAGCGGUGAAAUGCGCAGAUAUCAGGAGGAACACCGGUGGCGAAGGCGGAUCUCUGGGCCAUUACUGACGCUGAGGAGCGAAAGCGUGGGGAGCGAACAGGAUUAGAUACCCUGGUAGUCCACGCCGUAAACGUUGGGAACUAGGUGUUGGCGACAUUCCACGUCGUCGGUGCCGCAGCUAACGCAUUAAGUUCCCCGCCUGGGGAGUACGGCCGCAAGGCUAAAACUCAAAGGAAUUGACGGGG
rnacentral:rRNA from 1 species